rnacentral:lncRNA from 1 species
UCUGCGAAGAAUUGCUACAACAGGAUUAACCUUAGCAAAUACCCUCCAGAUCAUCGCAGAACCUUGUCUCCAAAUGGUCCUUAUGAGAACACUAGCAAAGAGUCUUCGGUCAACAUGAUCAGCACUGGUUAUGGAGGCAAUGCCCGAUGGUAUCACGACACAGCUGCUACUGCUAGUGUGACUCAAUCAGGUAAUAAUCUUCACUCUAUUAGGCCAUACACAGGAUCUGAUUGUAUGAGGACAGCGAAUGGAGAAGGUAUGGAGAUCACUCACUGUGGUGAUGCUAUUUUCACACAUCAGGAUUCUAAUUUUGUGUUGAAAGAUGUGUUAGUUGCACCUGAUGCAAAUAGAAAUCUAGUUUCUGUUAAAAACUUUUGCAAGGAUAAUCAUGUGUCUGUGGAAUUUGAUGAACAGAAAGCCAAGGUCAGGGAUCGAAAAACUAGGAGGGUACUUGCUGUGGAUCAGGAGGAAGAUGGUUUUUAUCCAAUUUCUUUUUCAAUAAAACAGCCUUUGGAGGCUUCUAUGGUGGAGAGGUCUAAAGUUUCAAGUGAAGUUUGGCACUGCCGCCUGGGGCAUCUGAAUUUCAGAUCUGUUUUAGCUUUAAUUCGAAGGGG